CGGCCUGUAGUUCAACGGUGAGAACGUCCGUCUGAUGAGCGGGAUGUUGCUGGUUCGAUUCCAGCCGGGCCGA
rnacentral:tRNA from 1 species